rnacentral:tRNA from 1 species
UAGGUUGAAGCCCGCUGGAUUGGGUGUUUAGUUGUUAACUAGAGUGUUACGGGAUCGAAGCCCGUCAGCCUAGU